UGCUGGGAUUACAGGCGUGAGCCACCGUGCCCGACCAGAUUUCAGUUUCUAUUAGCUUUCAACAACACUUUUCGUGCAUGAGUGACGCUGGCGGCCAUGUACUCAGCCAUUCCAUCAAGGUUCCAAGCAGCAAAGCUGCAAAAUGGAUCUGACUCCUUCAGUGAAGAAGAGUCUCCCUGAAUGCAUUGGAAACACUCAUGAGAUGCUACUGAAGCAAGUAAGGGAAGCCUGACUGUGGACAUGCUCUCUGUCUCUUAGGCUCACAGUACUCCAACCACAGAAACGAGAUGCCUCAAGGGAGGCAGAGGCAGAAAGAAGCCAUCACUAUAAACCCAAGAAUAAAGCCAGCAGAGCUACAGUGAUGGCCUGUGUGCUGCAGCUCUCCAGCUCCAGCAGCACUGAGGCAGAUCUGAGUUUCUCGAAGCUGGGCCCAUCACCAACAAGACAGUGAUGGUGAAAGCAAUGAUAGAAGAGGUCGAAUUUAGAGUAAGGAUCAGGAUGGACAGGAGAGAGCUGAACUUCAAGGAUGCGAAUUUAUUUCCACACAGGGGAGAAACACUGAUUGGAGAAAAUUUACAGUUGCUGUUUAGACACUUGAGCCUCAGGAUCGAGAAAAGGUGCACCUCUUAGAUGGGCCUUAAAUUGGAGAUGAUGAUAUCUAACCACCUGGAGACGGGAAAGUAGGUGUCACUCAAUGCUGAACGGUGCUACUCAUCUGUGAGAUUGUAUAAUGAAGUUUUGGAGACUGAGCCUGUACCUUCAUCUGUUCUUUAACCAAUGCACACUUAACAAGCACGUCAUGUUUAGCUGCUCAGCAGAGCUUCCUUCUUCAGAAACAGAGACGGGGUGCGGAGGCAUUUUACAACCCAGGGGGCUCCAGCUUCAUAGACUGUCUUGUGAGGAUCUAUGCUGUUACUCUGAGGAUCAGCGUUGGUUUUCCAAGUCCUUCAUGAACAUAACAAGUCAAUGAUAAGACGACAAGUUCCACCGCUGUGCCUCA
rnacentral:lncRNA from 1 species